rnacentral:lncRNA from 1 species
UAGCUGUCUGAGAUCUUGUAAAGUUAUGGUGUCAAAUGGUGAAUGUUACAAUGCAUGUUCUUUGCAGGUUGCAAAGGGAAGCAAAAUUAAAAGAACAGAAAAAAAGUGAGCCAAAUAUUAAAGAUCCUAUAUCUAUUUCUUUUCUACCCACAAGGGGCUAAACAUAGAAGGGACAAACAAGGACAGACAAACGGAUUAAGUCGAUUAUAUCGACCCCAGUGCAAAACUGGUACUUUAUUUAUCGACCACGAAAGGAUGAAAGGCAAAGUCAACCUCGGCGGAAUUUGAACUCAGAACGUAACGGCAGACGAAAUACGGCUACGCAUUUCGCCCGGCGCGCUAACGUUUCUGCCAGCUCGCCACCCUAUUAUUUCAUCAGAUCCUAUAUAUUUUAUCAGUGUGAAGCAGGAAAUGAUCAAAAACUUACCCUGGUCUGCGCCAUGUAAAUCCUCGAAGAAAAAUUCGGUUGAUAUUAUCUGCGUCUGUAGUAUUUAAGCAAUAAGUUUGUAAAAAGAAAUUCCAGAUUCCUCCACACUUGAGAAAUAUUCGAUCAAUCCCACGAUGUUAAGUUAAAAUCCAAUUGAAUACUGUAUUUGUGUAGCAGCUUCUGUAGAGUGAAAAAGAAAAAAAAUGUGAGAUAAAUAUAACACCGAGUAAUAAUAUUUUCUUUAUUAUAUAAGCUACUGGGAAAGACUCAAGAGAUUAAAACUAUAUUCCUUUGAGCGUAGGCAAGAAAGAUAUGCCAUAAUAUACAUCUGGAAGAUCCUGGAAGGACUUGUCCCAAACUUUGGCAUCGAGAGUUACACAAAUGCCAGAACUGGGUGCCACUGCAUGGUGCCAAGGACUCCAAAUUUGCCAUCAAGAUGUAGGACAAGAUACUGUGAUAGCCUGGGCUUCCGAGGCCCACAGUUCUUCAAUAUCCUCCCGAAGAACCUAAGAGACCUGCAUGGGGUGGAUGCAGAUGUCUAUCUAUCUAUCUAUCAAUCUAUCUAUAUAGAGAAAGAUAUGCCAUAAUAUUCAUCUGGAAGAUCCUGGAGGGACUUGUCCCAAACUUUGGCAUCGAGAGUUACACAAAUGCCAGAACUGGGUGCCACUGCAUGGUGCCAAGGACUCCAAAUUUGCCAUCAAGAUGUAGGACAAGAUACUGUGAUAGCCUGGGCUUCCGAGGCCCACAGCUCUUCAAUAUCCUCCCGAAGAACCUAAGAGACCUGCAUGAGGUGGAUGCAGAUGUCUUUAAAAUGAAACUGGAUCUCUUCCUGUCAGGUAUCUCAGAUGAACCAACUUCACGGCAGGAGGUGCAGAUGAGGGCAGCUGCAUCGAACUCUCUCAUGCACCAAAUGGCAGUUGCUAAAAGGCAUUCGUGAAGUAAAACCAUGUAGCAACACCAAAUGGUGGUGCCCCAGCAUGGCCACAGCUCGUAAGCUGAAACUAGAUAAAACAAAAUAAAAUUAAAAAAAUAUAUUUCAGAAUCGAAAUCGAUCAAUGGAAAUUGCAGCCGAUUUACCAGUGCCGGUGGCACGUAAGAGAACCAUCCGAAUGUGGGCGUUGCCAGCGCCGCCUAGACUGGCCUCGAGCCGGUGG